rnacentral:rRNA from 1 species
UACGAAGGGGGCUAGCGUUGCUCGGAAUUACUGGGCGUAAAGCGCACGUAGGCGGCUUUCUAAGUCGGGGGUGAAAUCCUGGAGCUCAACUCCAGAACUGCCUUCGAUACUGGAGAGCUCGAGUCCGGGAGAGGUGAGUGGAACUGCGAGUGUAGAGGUGAAAUUCGUAGAUAUUCGCAAGAACACCAGUGGCGAAGGCGGCUCACUGGCCCAUUACUGACGCUGAGGCACGAAAGCGUGGGGAGCAAACAGG